UAGGGAAUCUUCCACAAUGGACGCAAGUCUGAUGGAGCAACGCCGCGUGAGUGAAGAAGGUUUUCGGACCGUAAAGCUCUGUUGUUGGUGAAGAAGGAUAGAGGUAGUAACUGGCCUUUAUUUGACGGUAAUCAACCAGAAAGUCACGGCUAACUACGUGCCAGCAGCCGCGGUAAUCGUAGGUGGCAAGCGUUGUCCGGAUUUAUUGGGCGUAAAGCGAGCGCAGGCGGAAGAAUAAGUCUGAUGUGAAAGCCCUCGGCUUAACCGAGGAAUUGCAUCGGAAACUGUUUUCUUGAGUGCAGAAGAGGAGAGUAGAACUCCAUGUGUAGCGGUGGAAUGCGUAGAUAUAUGGAAGAAUACCAGUGGCGAAGGCGGCUCUCUGGUCUGCAACUGACGCUGAGGCUCGAAAGCAUGGUAGCGAACAGGAUUAGAUACCCUGGUAGUCCAUGCCGUAAACGAUGAGUGCUAAGUGUUGGGAGGCUUCCGCCUCUCAGUGCUGCAGCUAACGCAUUAAGCACUCCGCCUGGGGGAGUAUGACCGCAAGGUUGG
rnacentral:rRNA from 1 species